rnacentral:rRNA from 1 species
GUGGGGAAUUUUGGACAAUGGGCGCAAGCCUGAUCCAGCAAUGCCGCGUGCAGGAAGAAGGCCUUCGGGUUGUAAACUGCUUUUGUACGGAACGAAACGGUCCGGGUUAAUACCCUGGGCUAAUGACGGUACCGUAAGAAUAAGCACCGGCUAACUACGUGCCAGCAGCCGCGGUAAUACGUAGGGUGCAAGCGUUAAUCGGAAUUACUGGGCGUAAAGCGUGCGCAGGCGGUUUUGUAAGACAGGCGUGAAAUCCCCGGGCUCAACCUGGGAAUUGCGCUUGUGACUGCAAGGCUGGAGUGCGGCAGAGGGGGAUGGAAUUCCGCGUGUAGCAGUGAAAUGCGUAGAUAUGCGGAGGAACACCGAUGGCGAAGGCAAUCCCCUGGGCCUGCACUGACGCUCUUGCACGAAAGCGUGGGGAGCAAACAGGAUUAGAAACCCCGGUAGUCC